CACCCUGCCCCCUCCCCCGCCCGCGCGGACUUCCUCCUCCGCAAGCUGUCAACAAAGGAGAAGCAGGUGAGAGGUUUCGGGAUUCUGGAUGACAAUGUCUCGGUGCCCUCAAGGCCACUGAUUCCUCGCCACACAGUCUCAGUAACUCCGCAGCCUCUAGACACGGCUUUCCGGAAGCGGCCUGCAAGCUGGACCCCAGCGAGUUCGCAGGAUCUGCGUAGUCCCUGCUCGCGAUUAGAGCGCACACGAGUUUACUCCUGUCCAAGUAUUCUGAUAAGCUUCCUCUACUGCCCUCUCGUGGCCACAGUCCUCAGUGGUAUAAAUCUAAAAAACAACAAAAAUCACUGCGAAUACCUAAAAGCAAUUGCACCAAAUUCUUAGAGCAGUAGCGGCAGAAGAAACGAAGGGAGGGAAGGAUGAAGAAAGGGAGCCGGAGAAAAGAGAGAGAGAGAGGAAGAAGAAAAGGAAAUCUAGACUAACCAGUCAUCUCGAACAAUCGCACAUUCAACACAGGACUGGGGGAUCUAGGCUUUACUCCAACAUCUGCAGAAAUCAGCGAAUUCUUCAAAAGUUCUUCAUUGUAAUUAGCUGAAAUUUGUGUUCCUGUAACUUUCACUGGCUACUGCUAGUUUUGUCCUGUGGGACCACAAAGAAUCUGUCUAAGCUGUGUUGCCUGAUCCAUACCUGUUCUUUCCUUCAAACUUCUUUAGCAUUCAUUGUUGGUAACACACCAAUAAAUUAUCAUAUUUACCCU
rnacentral:lncRNA from 1 species